rnacentral:rRNA from 1 species
AUGGCCAGGCCAAGGCCGGCGGUCCUCCUAGCGACGUGGUGCCUCAUCCUCCUCCGGAGCUCGUCAGCCCCAGCGGUGCCUGCACUCCAACCACCGCCACCACCAUCAGCACCAGGAGGCACCCUCUGCAUCCCCCGCGAGCGAGAUGCGCUUCUCGCCUUCAAGGCCGGCCUCAACGAUCCGAGCAACUACCUUUCGUCGUGGCGGGCCGAGGAGGACUGCUGUCGAUGGAUGGGCGUCGGGUGCAGCAACCGGACCGGCCAUGUCAUCAAGCUCCAGGUCAACAGCUACGGAGCCAUCGGAGGUGAGAUAAGGUCCUCCUUGCUCACUCUACGACAUCUCAAGCACCUGGACCUCUCGUCCAACGACUUCGGUGGGAGGCCUGUCCCUCAGUUCAUCGGCAGCUUCAGCGGCCUGACGCAUCUCCUCCUCAACUACUCAUCUUUCGGUGGGCGAAUCCCUCACCACCUUGGGAACCUUUCAAAUCUAGUCAGUCUUGACCUCUCGAGUCAAUUACCAGGUUGUUACUCGCCUGAUCUUUCAUGGCUGUCGAGGUUGCGGAAGCUGCAAUACCUCGCCAUGUCCACGGUGGACCUUAGUGCUUCCAUCGACUGGACUCAUGCUGUCAACAUGCUUCCCUCUCUGGUAACCCUCGAGCUAUCAAAUUGUGGUCUUCGUAACAUUAUGCCUCCACCGUUGCACUCCAACCUCACAUCACUAGAAACCCUCUACCUCGAUUCCAACUCUUUUAACUCGUCCUUUGGAGCCAACUACUUGGUUUGGGAUCUACCUGCUCUCCAAGUUAUGUACAUGUAUAACUGUGGAAUCCAGGGUCCUAUACCUGACGCAGUUGGAAAUUUGACCUCCAUUCAGUCAUUGUUCCUUAGCGAAAACAAUUUCUUUGGCAUGGUGCCAUCGACCUUCAAGAAACUCAAGAGACUACAAGCGCUCCGUCUAUCGAAAAACUUCAUUAGUGGAGGCACAGAAGAUCUAUUUUAUAGAUUGCCAGGGGAUGAGCUACAGGAGUUGUAUUUGGACCACAACAAUUUGACAGGGACUCUUCCAGAUCGACUAGAACAAUUCAGCAGCUUGUCCACACUUUGGCUCAGUAACAACAAGCUAUUCGGAGAGAUACCUGUUGGUAUACAAAAACUCACGUGUUUAGUGGACUUGUGGUUGGACUCAAACAAUCUGCAUGGUAUAGUGACCCAAGACCAUUUCACGAAUAUGACGAACCUGCGAAAUUUGUGGCUCUCUGGUAAUUCCGUAACUAUGUUGGUCAACAACACAUGGAGCACUCCAUUCAGCUUAACUUCAGCGGGCUUUAGAUCUUGCAUCCUAGGCCCCCAGUUUCCGGCAUGGAUUAUCCAACAAACACUUGACACUCUUGAUAUUUCAAACACAAGCAUACAUGACUCCAUUCCUGCUAGUUUUUGGUUUGGAAUGUACCGUUGUCAAGUUCUGGACCUAUCGGAAAAUCAGAUCUUUGGCAUGCUUCCCACAUAUUUUCUGUUUGGUGGAAUGGAAGCUGUUAUACUGGAUAUUAGUGCUAACGAGCUCGUUGGCCCGAUUCCAACACUCCCAAUGAACCUCCGCUUGUUGGACCUCUCUGGGAACAACCUAUCCGGUGCAUUGCCAUCAGAUAUUGGAGCACCCGCGCUAGAAAUACUCAUGCUCUUCAAAAAUUCUUUUUCUGGGAUCAUUCCAUGCUCCCUAUUUGAGUUGCAAAAUUUGCAGUUUCUAGAUCUAUCAGAGAACCAACUAAAUGGGACAUUGGCCAAUUGUCUCCGUGCACCCAAAACUUCAAACGUGACCAUGCUUAACUUGAAUAACAACAAUCUUUUGGGAGGAAUCCCAUCGUUUCUUCAGAGGUGUAAAGAGCUAAAAUUCCUUGAUCUCGCAUACAAUGGAUUUUCUGGUAGCUUACCAACAUGGAUCGGAUCAAAGCUACCAUACUUGGCAUUUCUGCGGCUGAGGUCAAACAUGCUCUCUGGUGGUAUUCCUAGUGAACUGACUAGGAUGAGCGGGCUUCAGUAUCUAGACAUUGCAAGCAACAACAUCUCAGGGAGCAUACCACUAUCACUUGGGAAUCUCAUAGAUAUGGCUCAUACUCCCGAUCAAGAAGGUGUUCUUUUCAAAAUCGUCCACUUUGGGGUGGUUUCCGUAUACAAGUACACUAAUGCUUACACUGAUAGUUUGUCGGUGGUCACAAAAGGUCAGCAGCUUGAAUACACAACAGGAAUCGCGUAUAUGGUAAACAUUGAUUUUUCUUGCAACAGUUUGAUAGGGAAGAUUCCUCAUGAAAUCGGCAUGCUCACUUCAUUGACAAACUUGAACCUGUCAUGGAAUCACCUUAGCAGCACAAUCCCUGUGACUAUUGGGGAGCUACGGGCACUGGAAUCUUUGGACCUCUCACGCAAUGAGCUCUCUGGUCAAAUCCCGAUGAGUAUGGCAGAUCUAACUUCACUUGCCCACUUGAACUUGUCUUACAACAAUCUGACAGGAACCAUACCUCCUGGCAAUCAGUUACAAACUUUAGAUGAUGCGUCAAUCUAUGCUGGCAAUCCAGGUCUUUGUGGUCCGCCUGUAUCAAGGAACUGCUCGGGAACGGAAAUCACUCCAUGGACUCCCGGAAAUCAGCAUGAGGGCAUGAGUGAUGCGCUGUCAUUGUACCUCGGCACUGGCACGGGAUUCGUAGCAGGUCUCUGGAUCAUCUUCUGCGGCUUCUUAUUCAAGAGGAGCUGGAGAAUUAUGUGGUUCUCAUUCUUCGACCGCGUGUGUGAUUGGGUCUACGUGCGAGUGGCGGUGAGCUGGGCUUCAUUCACAAGAGAAGAGCAGUAG